GCACUGGGUUCGCAAACUUCAGCUGUGUUUGUUUGUUAUUUAAACGGUGGGUAUAAAGCUGGAAUUGGAGAUAGAUGGAAACUGAUAGAUGGAGGCGUCCCAGCGCUAAAAGAUGACAUCAAACAACUGCACGUGGUGUCAUCAGUGUUCCCGUUUCCCAACCCGCUUGAUAAACUGGACCGCAGAAGUGCUGAAAGAGCACCAUGGCAACCUCUUCACAAAUGUUGGCUAGGCUGAGGAGUCAGACAGGAGUGGAAGAGUGGAGGUGUUGGCAGGGUUGUAUAGUCUCCUCCUGUGGCACAGCACAACUCGACCACCACUGGGAUUUCUAAGUGCAGGCUAAAAAAACUCAACCUGAUCAUUGUGGAAAAACAUGGCUUGCUAAACCAGUACUUCAUGACGACAUUGGAAAAAUGUUUUGCUGUAGUUAUGCAGCUAGUUGUCAGUAACUUAUUAUAGAUUUAUAUUUGUCUAAUUUAUUGGCAACAGUUAGUUCAAAGAUAAAUGAACAUUGCACAUCUUUACAGAAAAACGCUAAAAUAACAGCCUUCUGCAAAGCAUUCUAGGAACCAGAAAUCCUCUUAACGUUUUUUUCAAUUUUUUAAUUUGGUUACCAAAAUGCUUUGCAUGAGGAUUUUAUUUUGUAGUUUUUCUAUAAAGAUGUUUAAUGUUUAAUGAACAAACUGUUCCCAGUAAAUUACAUAAAUGUAAAUCUACAGCAAGCUACUGGCAAACCGCUGCCAGUAAUACUGUAAUUUCUACAGGUAUUCAUUACAGUGAAGUUUUAAGUUGAAUUAUAAGCAGCGUUGCAUCUUAAUAGUGUUGUUUUGUGGAAACAGCUUGUUUCUUUGCAAUUAUUUUUGGCUUAUGAUUCUUGAAGAGAUUUAGAAGGAUUUCUGGACAUACUGUAUAGGUAAAAUAAAUAAUAUUUGUGGUUGUCUGGUCGACCAGCAGAAUUAUUGAGUUAUUAAAGCAAUAUAGCCAUAAUCAUUUAUUCAAAAGUACUUAACAUCUGUGUACGUCAACCCAGUGACAAGCAACAGAGACAGCAUUUACUGGUGAAAAAAGCAGGUUAUUUUGAAUAAAUAUAAAUUCUGAUUAAAUUUAAAAUAGCUCAAUUGCAUCUGCAUUUUUAACAUUUAUUUCUGUAAUGUAACUGUUUUGUUUUGAGAAUUCUGUAAAUUGAAAAAGUUAAAUUCUGUAAAAUCACAGUUUUUUAAGUGUAGUUUUGGGGUCAGAUGAUUGUUCAUUAAGGACCUUUUGUUGCAUUGUUCUUUGUCUGUAUUUAUUUCAUGUCAGAUGUUAAUUUUGUGUAUUUGUGUUGUUUCCUGGUUUUCCUUUGUCUGCACCCUUUUUGGAUUAUUAAAAGCACUCACAUUGUACUUGGA